AGAGUUUGAUCCUGGCUCAGAACGAACGCUGGCGGCAGGCUUAACACAUGCAAGUCGAGCGCCUCGCAAGAGGAGCGGCAGACGGGUGAGUAACGCGUGGGAAUCUACCUUUUGCUACGGAAUAACUCAGGGAAACUUGAGCUAAUACCGUAUGUGCCCUUUGGGGGAAAGAUUUAUCGGCAAAGGAUGAGCCCGCGUUGGAUUAGGUAGUUGGUGGGGUAAUGGCCUACCAAGCCGACGAUCCAUAGCUGGUCUGAGAGGAUGAUCAGCCACAUUGGGACUGAGACACGGCCCAAACUCCUACGGGAGGCAGCAGUGGGGAAUAUUGGACAAUGGGCGCAAGCCUGAUCCAGCCAUGCCGCGUGAGUGAUGAAGGCCCUAGGGUUGUAAAGCUCUUUCACCGGUGAAGAUAAUGACGGUAACCGGAGAAGAAGCCCCGGCUAACUUCGUGCCAGCAGCCGCGGUAAUACGAAGGGGGCUAGCGUUGUUCGGAAUUACUGGGCGUAAAGCGCACGUAGGCGGACAUUUAAGUCAGGGGUGAAAUCCCGGGGCUCAACCCCGGAACUGCCUUUGAUACUGGGUGUCUUGAGUUCGAGAGAGGUGAGUGGAAUUCCGAGUGUAGAGGUGAAAUUCGUAGAUAUUCGGAGGAACACCAGUGGCGAAGGCGGCUCACUGGCUCGAUACUGACGCUGAGGUGCGAAAGCGUGGGGAGCAAACAGGAUUAGAUACCCUAGUAGUCC
rnacentral:rRNA from 1 species